rnacentral:rRNA from 1 species
UAGCGUAUAUUAAAGUUGUUGCAGUUAGAACGCUCGUAGUCGGAUUUCGGGGCGGGUCGACCGGUCUGCCGAUGGGUAUGCACUGUUCGACCCGUCCUUCCUUCCGGAGACCGUCUCACUCUUGACUGAGCUGAGGCGGGAGACGGAACGUUUACUUUGAAAAAAUCAGAGUGUUUCAAGCAGGCAGCUCGCUCUUGCAUGGAUUAGCAUGGGAUAAUGAAAUAGGACUUUGGUGCUAUUUUGUUGGUUUCGAACACCGAAGUAAUGAUGAGAAGGGACAGUCAGGGGCACUCGUAUUCCGCCGAGAGAGGUGAAAUUCUCAGACCAGCGGAAGACGAACCACUGCGAAAGCAUUUG